rnacentral:rRNA from 1 species
GAUGAACGCUGGCGGCGUGCCUAAUACAUGCAAGUCGAGCGAACAGAUAAGGAGCUUGCUCCUUUGACGUUAGCGGCGGACGGGUGAGUAACACGUGGGUAACCUACCUAUAAGACUGGAAUAACUCCGGGAAACCGGGGCUAAUGCCGGAUAACAUUUAGAACCGCAUGGUUCUAAAGUGAAAGAUGGUUUACUUUCAUCUAUUAGAGGACCCGCGGCGUAUUAGCUAGUUGGUAAGGUAACGGCUUACCCAGGGCACGAUAAGUAGCCGACCUGAGAGGGUGAUCGGCCACACUGGAACUGAGACACGGUCCAGACUCCUACGGGAGGCAGCAGUAGGGAAUCUUCCGCAGUGGGCGAAAGCCUGACGGAGCAACGCCGCGUGAGUGAUGAAGGUCUUCGGAUCGUAAAACUCUGUUAUUAGGGAAGAACAAAUGUGUAAGUAACUGUGCACGUCUUGACGGUACCUAAUCAGAAAGCCACGGCUAACUACGUG